CCAACGGCCCUCUUUAGGGCCACAUAUGCUAUCGAAUACAAUGUGU
rfam:Ancylostoma ceylanicum strain HY135 Acey_s0143_scaf, whole genome shotgun sequence.